rnacentral:rRNA from 1 species
GACGAACGCUGGCGGCGUGCUUAACACAUGCAAGUCGAACGCUGAAGCUCAGCUUUUGUUGGGUGGAUGAGUGGCGAACGGGUGAGUAACACGUGAGUAACCUGCCCCCUUCUUUGGGAUAACGCCCGGAAACGGGUGCUAAUACUGGAUAUUCACUGGUCUUCGCAUGGGGGUUGGUGGAAAGGGUUUUUCUGGUGGGGGAUGGGCUCGCGGCCUAUCAGCUUGUUGGUGGGGUGAUGGCCUACCAAGGCUUUGACGGGUAGCCGGCCUGAGAGGGUGACCGGUCACAUUGGGACUGAGAUACGGCCCAGACUCCUACGGGAGGCAGCAGUGGGGAAUAUUGCACAAUGGGCGCAAGCCUGAUGCAGCGACGCCGCGGGAGGGAUGGAGGCCGUCGGGUUGUGAACCUCUUUCGCUCAUGGUCAAGCCGCAACAAUGGUUGUGGUGAGGGUAGUGGGUAAAGAAGCGCCGGCUAACUACGUG